rnacentral:rRNA from 1 species
UACGUAGGGGGCCAGCGUUGUCCGGAUUUAUUGGGCGUAAAGAGCGUGUAGGCGGCCAGGUAGGUCUGGUGUGAAAACUCGAGGCUCAACCUCGAGAUGUCAUCGGAAACCAUCUGGCUAGAGUCCGGAAGAGGAGAGUGGAAUUCCGUGGUGUAGCGGUGAAAUGCGCAGAUAUCAGGAAGAACACCUAUGGCGAAGGCAGCUCUCUGGGACGGUACUGACGCUGAGACGCGAAAGCGUGGGGAGCGAACAGG